AUCUAACUGAUGUGUCCCAAAUAGGAUCAAACUUGUGUCCUGGAU
rnacentral:hammerhead_ribozyme from 1 species